rnacentral:rRNA from 1 species
UACGUAGGGUGCAAGCGUUGUCCGGAAUUAUUGGGCGUAAAGAGCUCGUAGGCGGUCUGUCGCGUCUGCUGUGAAAACUCAGGGCUUAACCCUGAGCUUGCAGUGGGUACGGGCAGACUAGAGUGCGGUAGGGGAGACUGGAAUUCCUGGUGUAGCGGUGAGAUGCGCAGAUAUCAGGAGGAACACCGGUGGCGAAGGCGGGUCUCUGGGCCGAUACUGACGCUGAGGAGCGAAAGCGUGGGGAGCGAACAGG